rnacentral:rRNA from 1 species
ACUACGGGAGGCUGCAGUGAGGAAUAUUGGUCAAUGGCCGGAAGGCUGAACCAGCCAUGCCGCGUGAAGGUCAGUGCCCUAUGGGCGUUAAACUUCUUUUGUGCGGGAGCAAUAAUGGUCACGUGUGGCCAGACGAGAGUACCGUACGAAUAAGCAUCGGCUAACUCCGUGCCAGCAGCCGCGGUAAUACGGGGGAUGCAAGCGUUAUCCGGAUUUAUUGGGGUUAAAGGGUGCGUAGGCUGUGAGGUAAGUCAGCGGUGAAAUGCCCCCGCACAACGGGGUGAAGUGCCAUUGAUACUGCCUUGCUGGAAUGCGGAUGCCGUGGGAGGAAUGUGUGGUGUAGCGGUGAAAUGCAUAGAUAUCGCGCAGAACUCCGAUUGCGAAGGCAGCGUACCGGCGCCAGACUGACGCUGAGGCACGAAAGCGUGGGGAUCGAACAGGAUUAGAUACCCUUGUAGUC